rnacentral:rRNA from 1 species
GAAGUGUGGACGCCAGUCUGCAUGGAGCCGACCUUGAAAUACCACCCUUUAAUGUUUGAUGUUCUAACGUUGACCCCUAAUCGGGGUUGCGGACAGUGUCUGGUGGGUAGUUUGACUGGGGCGGUCUCCUCCUAAAGAGUAACGGAGGAGCACGAAGGUUGGCUAAUCCUGGUCGGACAUCAGGAGGUUAGUGCAAUGGCAUAAGCCAGCUUGACUGCGAGCGUGACGGCGCGAGCAGGUGCGAAAGCAGGUCAUAGUGAUCCGGUGGUUCUGAAUGGAAGGGCCAUCGCUCAACGGAUAAAAGGUACUCCGGGGAUAACAGGCUGAUACCGCCCAAGAGUUCAUAUCGACGGCGGUGUUUGGCACCUCGAUGUCGGCUCAUCACAUCCUGGGGCUGAAGUAGGUCCCAAGGGUAUGGCUGUUCGCCAUUUAAAGUGGUACGCGAGCUGGGUUUAGAACGUCGUGAGACAGUUCGGUCCCUAUCUGCCGUGGGCGCUGGAGAACUGAGGGGGGCUGCUCCUAGUACGAGAGGACCGGAGUGGACGCAUCACUGGUGUUCGGGUUGUCAUGCCAAUGGCACUGCCCGGUAGCUAAAUGCGGAAGAGAUAAGUGCUGAAAGCAUCUAAGCACGAAACUUGCC